GCCACAAGAACUUGUAGGGGCCAAGUUGCUUUUAUGUGAACACUACAAGGCUUCCCUCUCAUGGAGAGAAGUUCUAUAGCACUCUUCUGUAUGUAAUAUAACAUCUUUAGGUUAGAUUUGUAUUUAGCCUUUGAGGUAGGCUAUUUCUUUUGAGGACAUUUCUAUAUAUCUAUCAGUUACUGUUGCUUAGCAACUUAUUUUCUUCUCUUCUACUUUGCUAGUUCUGCAGUUUUCAUCCUCUUGGUCUUCCACUUCAACUUUCCUUUCUGCUGGACUUUUCUGUUCUGUCUCCUGCUUCAUUUUAACUGUGGGACAGGAGACAGUGAGAGGCAAGAGCAAAUCUGUCAGAAAUGCAGGUGUUGGAUGUUAACAAUACAGAGGAAAACCCCUCAGGAAGAAGCUCCAACUGAUGAAAUGCAAGACUCUACUAUGUAUUCAUAACACAAAAUAUCUCCAUAACAACCACACAGGGUUCACGUUAGGUUUAAGGGGGAGGGAGUACAGGUUAUUGAUUUUGGUUGGUAUUCAGAGUUGAGAUCCUCACGUUUAACUCUUACUUUUGUGUAAAUCAUUCAUUGACGUCAAUGGGAGACAUGCACCAUAAUUUGAAUACCAUCUCAAAAUACAUAUUAGUACUAUAUUUAAACCCCUUUAUAUUAUGUGGGAUUUUAGAUUCUUGAUGAAACAGCCUUUGCACAAUCCCUUGUACAUCCUAAUAGAAUCAAUGCUGUGAAAAUGAAAUUUGAUCAACCACAUUUGUAGC
rnacentral:lncRNA from 1 species